rnacentral:tRNA from 1 species
UCCGCGGUAGCUCAGUCCGGCAGAGCAAACGACUGUUAAUCGUUGGGUCGCAGGUUCGAAUCCUGCCCGCGGAG